GUGCUCACUUCAGCAGCACAUAUACAAAAUUUGGAACAUACAGGGAAGAUUAGUGUGACUCUUAUGCAAGGAUGACAUAUGAGUUCAUGAAGUAUUCCAUAUUAAA
ensembl:snRNA U6 U6 spliceosomal RNA